GAAAUGCGAUACGUAGUGUGAAUUGCAGAAUUCCGUGAAUCAUCGAAUCUUUGAACGCAUCCUGCGCUCCUCGGGGCUUGCCCCGGGAGCAUGUCUGUUUGAGGGUCAGCGUACCAACUCAUCGCUCCUCGGAGGGGUGGAGAAUGGGAGUCGCCUUGGUUCCGAUUUUGGAGCCCGAGGCGUCUUCUGAAAUGCAGGGAGACGAGGCUAGCUCUCCCCUCGGUGAGAUAGCUGCCUUUGUGCAGAUCAUAUCACGCCGCUGGACAAGGAGGCUAGGCAAAGGCGUCCCGGCUGGCAAGAGCCUAUUCUCUUGAACAUUGACCUCAAAUCAGGCAAGAACACCCGCUGAACUUAA
rnacentral:misc_RNA from 1 species